AUUGAACGCUGGCGGAAUGCUUUACACAUGCAAGUCGAACAGCAGCACGGGGGCAGCCCUGGUGGCGAGUGGCGAACGGGUGAGUAAUACAUCGGAACGUGCCCGGUCGUGGGGGAUAACGUAGCGAAAGUUACGCUAAUACCGCAUACGAUCUGAGGAUGAAAGCGGGGGACCUUCGGGCCUCGCGCGAUCGGAGCGGCCGAUGUCAGAUUAGGUAGUUGGUGGGGUAAAGGCCUACCAAGCCGACGAUCUGUAGCUGGUCUGAGAGGACGACCAGCCACACUGGGACUGAGACACGGCCCAGACUCCUACGGGAGGCAGCAGUGGGGAAUUUUGGACAAAGGGCGCAAGCCUGAUCCAGCCAUUCCGCGUGCAGGACGAAGGCCUUCGGGUUGUAAACUGCUUUUGUACGGAACGAAAAGGCUCUGGCUAAUACCUGGGGCUCAUGACGGUACCGUAAGAAUAAGCACCGGCUAACUACGUG
rnacentral:rRNA from 1 species